GAUGAACGCUGGCGGCGUGCCUAAUACAUGCGAGUCGAGCGAACAGACGAGGAGCUUGCUCCUCUGACGUUAGCGGCGGACGGGUGAGUAACACGUGGAUAACCUACCUAUAAGACUGGGAUAACUUCGGGAAACCGGAGCUAAUACCGGAUAAUAUAUUGAACCGCAUGGUUCAAUAGUGAAAGACGGUUUUGCUGUCACUUAUAGAUGGAUCCGCGCCGCAUUAGCUAGUUGGUAAGGUAACGGCUUACCAAGGCAACGAUGCGUAGCCGACCUGAGAGGGUGAUAGGCCACACUGGAACGGAGACACGGUCCAGACUCCUACGGGAGGCAGCAGUAGGGAAUCUUCCGCAAUGGGCGAAAGCUUGACGGAGCAACGCCGCGUGAGUGAUGAAGGUCUUCGGAUCGUAAAACUCUGUUAUUAGGGAAGAACAAAUGUGUAAGUAACUAUGCACGUCUUGACGGUACCUAAUCAGAAAGCCACGGCUAACUACGUG
rnacentral:rRNA from 1 species